CGUUGUGAGGCGUUGAGCUAACCUGUACUAAUUGCCCGUGAGGCUUAACCAUACAACACCCAAGGGGUUUUGUA
rnacentral:rRNA from 1 species